rnacentral:rRNA from 1 species
GACGGAGGGGGCAAGCGUUACCCGGAAUUAUUGGGCGUAAAGCGUCCGCAGGUGGCGAUUCAAGUCUGCUGUCAAAGGGCGGGGCUUAACCCCGGGAAGGCAGUGGAAACUGAAUAGCUAGAGUGCGGUAGGGGCAGAGGGAAUUCCCGGUGUAGCGGUGAAAUGCGUAGAGAUCGGGAAGAACACCAGUGGCGAAAGCGCUCUGCUGGGCCUGCACUGACACUGAGGGACGAAAGCUAGGGGAGCGAAAGGG